UACGAAGGGGGCUAGCGUUGCUCGGAAUACUGGGCGUAAAGCGUGCGCAGGCGGUUCGUUGUGUCGGCGGUGAAAGCCCCGGGCUUAACCUGGGAAUGGCCGUCGAAACUGGCGAACUGGAGUGUGGCAGAGGGGGGUGGAAUUCCGCGUGUAGCAGUGAAAUGCGUAGAGAUGUGGAGGAAUACCGAUGGCGAAGGCAGCCCCCCUGGGCCAAUACUGACGCUCAUGCACGAAAGCGUGGGGAGCAAACAGG
rnacentral:rRNA from 1 species